rnacentral:rRNA from 1 species
GACGAACGCUGGCGGCGUGCCUAAUACAUGCAAGUCGAACGCUUCUUUUCUACCGAGUGCUUGCACUCAUUUGAAAAGAGGAGUGGCGGACGGGUGAGUAACACGUGGGUAACCUGCCCAUCAGAAGGGGAUAACACUUGGAAGCAGGUGCUAUUACCGUAUAACAGUCGACACCGCAUGGUGUUGAUUUGAAUGACGCUUUCGGGUGUCACUGAUGGAUGGACCCGCGGUGCAUUAGCUAGUUGGUGAGGUAGCGGCUCACCAAGGCGAUGAUGCAUAGCCGACCUGAGAGGGUGAUCGGCCACACUGGGACUGAGACACGGCCCAGACUCCUACGGGAGGCAGCAGUAGGGAAUCUUCGGCAAUGGACGAAAGUCUGACCGAGCAACGCCGCGUGAGUGAAGAAGGUUUUCGGAUCGUAAAACUCUGUUGUUAGAGAAGAACAAGUAGGAGAGUAACUGCUCUCACCUUGACGGUAUCUAACCAGAAAGCCACGGCUAACUACGUGCCAGCAGCCGCAGUAA